rnacentral:rRNA from 1 species
AACGAACGCUGGCGGCAGGCCUAACACAUGCAAGUCGAACGGGAUCUUCGGAUCCAGUGGCGGACGGGUGAGUAACGCGUGGGAACGUACCCUUUGGUUCGGAAUAGCCCUGGGAAACUGGGAGUAAUACCGGAUACGGUCGAGAGACGAAAGAUUUAUCGCCGAAGGAGCAGCCCGCGUCGGAUUAGGUAGUUGGUGGGGUAAAGGCCUACCAAGCCGACGAUCAGUAGCUGGUCUGAGAGGAUGAUCAGCCACACUGGGACUGAGACACGGCCCAGACUCCUACGGGAGGCAGCAGUGGGGAAUAUUGGACAAUGGGCGCAAGCCUGAUCCAGCCAUGCCGCGUGAGUGAUGAAGGCCUUCGGGUUGUAAAGCUCUUUCGCACGUGACGAUGAUGACGGUAACGUGAGAAGAAGCCCCGGCUAACUUCGUGCCAGCCGCCGCGGUAACAC